AUUGAACGCUGGCGGCAUGCCUUACACAUGCAAGUCGAACGGUAACAGGUCUUCGGAUGCUGACGAGUGGCGAACGGGUGAGUAAUACAUCGGAACGUGCCCGAUCGUGGGGGAUAACGAGGCGAAAGCUUUGCUAAUACCGCAUACGAUCUACGGAUGAAAGCGGGGGAUCUUCGGACCUCGCGCGGACGGAGCGGCCGAUGGCAGAUUAGGUAGUUGGUGGGAUAAAAGCUUACCAAGCCGACGAUCUGUAGCUGGCCUGAGAGGAUGAUCAGCCACACUGGGACUGAGACACGGCCCAGACUCCUACGGGAGGCAGCAGUGGGGAAUUUUGGACAAUGGGCGAAAGCCUGAUCCAGCCAUGCCGCGUGCAGGAUGAAGGCCUUCGGGUUGUAAACUGCUUUUGUACGGAACGAAAAGCCUCUUUCUAAUAAAGAGGGGUCAUGACGGUACCGUAAGAAUAAGCACCGGCUAACUACGUG
rnacentral:rRNA from 1 species